rnacentral:siRNA from 1 species
AGACACAUCGUUAACUGGAGCUA